ACCAGCGGAGGGAUCAUUGCUGGACGCGCCCCAGGCGCACCCAGAAACCCUUUGUGAACUUAUACCUUACUGUUGCCUCGGCGCUAGCUGGUCCUUCGGGGCCCCUCACCCCCGGGUGUUGAGACAGCCCGCCGGCGGCCAACCCAACUCUUGUUUUUACACUGAAACUCUGAGAAUAAAACAUAAAUGAAUCAAAACUUUCAACAACGGAUCUCUUGGUUCUGGCAUCGAUGAAGAACGCAGCGAAAUGCGAUAAGUAAUGUGAAUUGCAGAAUUCAGUGAAUCAUCGAAUCUUUGAACGCACAUUGCGCCCUCUGGUAUCCCGGAGGGCAUGCCUGUUCGAGCGUCAUUUCAACCCUCAAGCCUGGCUUGGUGAUGGGGCACUGCUUCUUACCCAAGGAGCAGGCCCUGAAAUUCAGUGGCGAGCUCGCCAGGACCCCGAGCGCAGUAGUUAAACCCUCGCUCUGGAAGGCCCUGGCGGUGCCCUGCCGUUAAACCCCCAACUUCUGAAAAUUUGACCUCGGAUCAGGUAGGAAUACCCGCUGAACUUAAGCAUA
rnacentral:rRNA from 1 species